rnacentral:rRNA from 1 species
CCUACGGGGGGCAGCAGUGGGGAAUAUUGGGCAAUGGACGCAAGUCUGACCCAGCAACGCCGCGUGAAGGAAGAAGGCUUUCGGGUUGUAAACUUCUUUUAAGGGGGAAGAGCAGAAGACGGUACCCCUUGAAUAAGCCACGGCUAACUACGUGCCAGCAGCCGCGGUAAUACGUAGGUGGCAAGCGUUGUCCGGAUUUACUGGGUGUAAAGGGCGUGCAGCCGGAGAGACAAGUCAGAUGUGAAAUCCGCAGGCUCAACCUGCGAACUGCAUUUGAAACUGUUUCCCUUGAGUAUCGGAGAGGUAAGCGGAAUUCCUAGUGUAGCGGUGAAAUGCGUAGAUAUUAGGAGGAACACCAGUGGCGAAGGCGGCUUACUGGACAGUAACUGACGUUGAGGCUCGAAAGCGUGGGGAGCGAACAGGAUUAGAUACCCCAGUAGUC